UGGGGAAUAUUGCGCAAUGGGCGCAAGCCUGACGACGCAACGCCGCGUGGAGGAUGAAGGUCUUCGGAUUGUAAACUCCUGUUGAUCGGGACGAAAAGCUUCAACCUAAUACGUUGAAGACUGACGGUACCGGUUGAGGAAGCCACGGCUAACUCUGUGCCAGCAGCCGCGGUAAUACAGAGGUGGCAAGCGUUGUUCGGAAUUACUGGGCGUAAAGGGCGCGUAGGCGGCCUCCUAAGUCGGACGUGAAAGCCCCAGGCUUAACCUGGGAACUGCGUCUGAUACUGGGAGGCUUGGAUUCGGGAGAGGGAUGUGGAAUUCCAGGUGUAGCGGUGAAAUGCGUAGAUAUCAAGAGGAACACCUGAGGUGAAGACGGGUUGCUGGGCUGACACUGACGCUGAGGCGCGAAAGCCAGGGGAGCAAACGGGAUUAGAUACCCCCGUAGUCCCUGAGCGGGCUGGCAAGGCGCAU
rnacentral:rRNA from 1 species